UUAGUUCUAGUCCCAAUUAUUCUAGCUGACAUUUCUACUGAUGACUCACAAAUGUAACUAUGGCAUCAUCCAAGAAACAAGGCUCAGAGGGCUGUGUGUGCUGCAGCUAGCAUCAAAGUCCCAAGAAAUCAGAGGGAGGGCCAACUGAAGGCUUUGGCAAUGAACAAUCACACACCCACUGGGCCCUGCCGUCCUCACUGAAGUAAACAGUUGGGCGUCUUUCAACAGAAAAAGAAAUCUCCAAGUUGAAGAUAUUAAGGCCCUGCCUGGAUGCCAAGUUUUCUGAAAAGGUCUUUGACUGGAGGCUUGAGCUGUGAGUUGGUUCGGACCCCUGCCAAACCAUCUGGUUGCGAUGUUAGUUUCCAUAGUAUCCCCCCUGAAAUCAUGGACUUUGGGUUAAAAAUCUCUGCUGUACCUAGAAGGAAAAUUCUUUACCAUUUGGCCAAGGUAUUCUCCUGGAUCGCAGCAUAAGAUCCAAACCUGUGCUCUUUGAGGAAGUUGGCACCGUGUUUCUGAAUAAAUUCGUCAAUGGCUCCACCCCA